UGUGACUGUGACCCAGCUGGCAUCUCGGGGCCCUGUGACACGGGCCGCUGUGUCUGCAAGCCAGCUGUCACCGGAGAGCGCUGCGAUAGGUGUCGACCAGGUUACUACCAUCUGGAUGGGGGGAACCCUGAGGGCUGUACCCAGUGUUUUUGCUACGGACAUUCAGCCAGCUGCCGCAGCUCGGGGGACUACAGUGUCCAUAAAAUCACCUCUGACUUCCAACAAGAUGUUGAUGGCUGGAAGGCUGUCCAAAGAAACGGGUCUCCUGCAAAGCUCCAUUGGUCACAGCGCCAUCGGGAUGUGUUUAGCUCAGCACGGCGAUCAGACCCUGUCUAUUUUGUAG